rnacentral:rRNA from 1 species
GAUGAACGCUGACAGAAUGCUUAACACAUCAGCAAUUGAUUGGUGGCGGACGGGUGAGUAACGCGUACAGAACUUGCCUCCCAGCUAGGGACAACAUUUGGAAACGAAUGCUAAUACCUAAUACUGUGAGAGAGCUUUGCGUCCCAUUAGCUCGUGGGAGAGGUAACGGCUCACCAAGGCGAGGAUGGGUAGCCGGCCUGAGAGGGUGAUCGGCGAGAAGGGGACUGAGACACGGCGCUAACUCCGACGGGAGGCAGCAGUGGGGAGUAUGGGAGAAUGGACCAAAGUCUGAACCGGCAAUUCUGUGUGCACGAGGAAGUUUUCGGAAUGUAAAGGGCUGUCAGUUGGGAAGGGGUACCAACAGAAGAAGUGACGGCUAAAUACGUGCCAGCCGCCGCGGUAAUAC